CCUAGGGGGUGCUGCAGUGAGGAAUAUUGGUCAAUGGGCGGGAGCCUGAACCAGCCAAGUCGCGUGAGGGAAGACGGUCCUACGGAUUGUAAACCUCUUUUGCCGGGGAGCAACGGGGUCCUUGCGAGGGCCCAAUGAGAGUACCCGGAGAAAAAGCAUCGGCUAACUCCGUGCCAGCCGCCGCGGUAAUACGGAGGAUGCGAGCGUUAUCCGGGUUUAUUGGGUUUAAAGGGUGCGUAGGCGGGCUGUUAAGUCAGCGGGAAAAUUUCGGGGCUCACCCCCGGCCUGCCGUUGAAACUGGCGGGCGCGAGUGGGCGAGAAGGAUGCGGAAUGCGUGGUGUAGCGGUGAAAUGCAUAGAUAUCACGAAGAACUCCGAUUGCGAAGGCAGCAUACCGGCGCCCUACUGACGCUGAGGCACGAAAGCGUGGGUAUCGAACAGGAUUAGAUACCCUGGUAGUC
rnacentral:rRNA from 1 species